GACGAACGCUGGCGGCGUGCUUAACACAUGCAAGUCGAACGGUGAAGGGAUCAGCUAGCUGGUUCUGGAUGAGUGGCGAACGGGUGAGUAACACGUGAGUAACCUGCCCCCUUCUUCUGGAUAACCGCAUGAAAGUGUGGCUAAUACGGGAUAUUCUGGGUCUGCCGCAUGAUGGGUCUGGGAAAGAUAUUGUUUCGGUGGGGGAUGGGCUCGCGGCCUAUCAGCUUGUUGGUGGGGUGAUGGCCUACCAAGGCGGUGACGGGUAGCCGGCCUGGGAGGGGGGGCGGUGCAACUUGGGCCUGGGCACCGCCCCGACUGCUACGGGGAGCCGCAGUUGGGGAUAUUGCACAAUGGGCGCAAGCCUGAUGCAGCGACGCCGCGUGAGGGAUGGAGGCCUUCGGGUUGUAAACCUCUUUCGCCAGUGAAGCAGGCCUGCUCCUUGUGGGUGGGUUGACGGUAGCUGGAUAAGAAGCGCCGGCUAACUACGU
rnacentral:rRNA from 1 species